CUUGUGUAUAAUUUGGAAAUUAGUAUGGCGUUCAUUAUCACUGAACUAGUAUAUAUUUGUUUAGGGGCCAGCUAAAGGACGCCUCCGGGUGCGGGAAUUUCUCGCUACAUUGAAGACCUGUUGGUGACCUUCUGCUGUUGAUUUUUUCUAUGGUCGGGUUGUUGUCUCUUUGGCACAUUCCCCAUUUCCAUUCUCAAUGUUAUAAAAUA
rnacentral:lncRNA from 1 species